rnacentral:ncRNA from 1 species
UGUCUCCACUAUUCUCCUCCAAGAAAAUAGUUUUGAGCCCGCGCAAGAGCGGGCUUUUUUUU